CAGCAGCCACGGUAAUACGUAGGGUGCGAGCGUUAGUCGGAAUUACUGGGCGUAAAGCGUGCGCAGGCGGUUAUAUAAGACAGAUGUGAAAUCCCCGGGCUCAACCUGGGACCUGCACUUGUGACUGUAUAGCUAGAGUACGGUAGAGGGGGAUGGAGUUCCGCGUGUAGCAGUGAAAUGCGUAGAUAUGCGGAGGAGCACCGAUGGCGAAGGCAAUCCCCUGGACCUGUGCUGACGCUUAUGCACGAAAGCGUGGGGAGCAAACAGGAUUAGAUACCCCAGUAGUCCCUGUCUCUUAUAC
rnacentral:rRNA from 1 species